GGGUUGUGAGGUUAAGCGACUAAGCGUACACGGUGGAUGCCCUGGCAGUCAGAGGCGAUGAAGGGCGUGCUAAUCUGCGAUAAGCGCCGGUAAGGUGAUAUGAACCGUUAUAACCGGCGAUACCCGAAUGGGGAAACCCAGUGUGACUCGUCACACUAUCAUUAACUGAAUCCAU
rnacentral:rRNA from 3 species